AACAGGGAUUAGAUACCCCGGUAGUCCACGCCCUAAACGAUGUCAAAUAGAUGUGGGGGUCUUUGGACCUGGUAGAGCACAUAACGCGUGAAAUUUACCCCCCGGGGAGUACGGUCUCAAGAUUUAAACUCAAAGGAAUUGACGGGGACCCGCACACGCGGUGGAUGAUGUGGAUUAUUUGAUGCAACGCGAAAAACCUUACCUACCCCUGACAUGUGUGGAAUCCUGAAGAGAUUUGGGAGUGCUCGCAAGAGAACUGGAACACAGGUGCUGCAUGGCUGUCGUCAGCUCGUGUCGUGAGAUGUUGGGUUAAGUCCCGCAACGAGCGCAACCCUUGUCAUUAGUUGCUACGAAAGGGCACUCUAAUGAGACUGCCGGUGACAAACCGGAGGAAGGUGGGGAUGACGUCAAGUCCUCAUGGCCCUUAUGGGUAGGGCUUCACACGCAUACAAUGGUCGGGACAGAGGGUCGCCAACCGCGAGGGGGAGCCAAUCCCAGAAACCCGAUCGUAGUCCGGAUCGCAGUCGCAACUCGACUGCGUGAAGUCGGAAUCGCUAGUAACGCGGAUCAGCAUGUCGCGGUGAAUACGUUCCCGGGUCUUGUACACACCGCCCGUCACACCAUGGGAGUGGGUUUUACCAGAAGUAGUUAGCCUAACCGUAAGGAGGGCGAUACCACGGUAGGAUUCAUGACUGGGGUGAAGUC
rnacentral:rRNA from 1 species